rnacentral:rRNA from 1 species
AUUGAACGCUGGCGGCAGGCCUAACACAUGCAAGUCGAACGAGUGGCGGACGGGUGAGUAAUGUCUGGGAAACUGCCCGAUGGAGGGGGAUAACUACUGGAAACGGUAGCUAAUACCGCGUACCAUCGGAUGUGCCCAGAUGGGAUUAGCUUGUAGGUGAGGUAACGGCUCACCUAGGCGACGAUCCCUAUCUGGUCUGAGAGGAUGACCAACGACGCGGGUACUGGGACACUGUCCAGACUCCGACGGGAGUGGGCAGUGGGUAAUAUUGCGCAAUGGACGCAAGUCUGAUGCAGGCAUGGCGCGGGUAGGAAGAAGGCCUUCGGGUUGUAAAGUACUUUCAGCGGGGAGGCAUUACCCGCAGAAGAAGCAGCGGCUAACGCCGUGCCAGCAGCGGCGGUAAUAC